GUGCAAGUUGUUAAGUGCGAUCGGUGGAUGCCUUGGCACCAAGAGCCGAUGAAGGACGUUGUAACCUGCGAUAAGCCCUGGGGAGUUGGUAAACGAGCUGUGAUCCGGGGGUGUCCGAAUGGGGAAACCUGGAAUGUCCGGAGUAGUGUCCGGUGACCCUGCCCUGAAUGUAUAGGGGUGUGGGAGGUAACGCGGGGAAGUGAAACAUCUUAGUACCCGUAGGAAGAGAAAACAACCGUGAUUCCGUGAGUAGUGGCGAGCGAAAGUGGAUGAGGCUAAACCGUGUGUGUGUUCAAGCCGGCAGGUGUUGCAUGUGCGGGGUUGUGGGGGCCUUUGGGUUCUGCUGCCGCAGGAUUGGCCAGUGAUAAAUGUUGCGUGAAGGUGAAGCGUCUGGGAAGGCGUACCGGAGUGGGUGAGAGUCCCGUAACUGUAAGCGUGGCACUGGUGAGGGUUACCCCAAGUAGCGUGGAACUCGUGGAAUUUCGCGUGAAUCUGGCGGGACCACCCGUCAAGCCUAAAUACUCCUUGGUGACCGAUAGUGGAUCAGUACCGUGAGGGAAUGGUGAAAAGUACCCCGGGAGGGGAGUGAAAUAGUACCUGAAACCGGUCGCAUACAAGCCGUCAGAGCCUUGUGGGGUGAUGGCGUGCCUUUUGAAGAAUGAGCCUGCGAGUUAGUGAUGCGUGGCGAGGUUAACCUGUGUGGGGGAGUCGUAGCGAAAGCGAGUCCGAUAAGGGCGUGAGUCGCGUGUUCUAGACCCGAAGCGGUGUGAUCUAUCCAUGGCCAGGAUGAAGCGUCGGUAAGACGUCGUGGAGGUCCGAACCCACUUCAGUUGAAAAUGGAGGGGAUGAGCUGUGGAUAGGGGUGAAAGGCCAAUCAAACACCGUGAUAGCUGGUUCUCCCCGAAAUGCAUUUAGGUGCAGCGUUGCGUGGUUCUUGUCGGAGGUAGAGCACUGGAUGGUCUAGGGGGCCUAUCAGCUUACCGAAAUCAGCUAAACUCCGAAUGCCGGCAAGUGGAGCGUAGCAGUGAGACGGCGGGGGAUAAGCUUCGUCGUCGAGAGGGAAACAGCCCAGAUCAUCAGCUAAGGCCCCUAAGUGGUAACUCAGUGGAAAAGGAUGUGGAGUUGCGUAGACAGCCAGGAGGUUGGCUUGGAAGCAGCCAUCCUUGAAAGAGUGCGUAAUAGCUCACUGGUCAAGUGAUUCCGCGCCGACAAUGUAGCGGGGCUUAAGUUAUCCGCCGAAGCUGUGGCA
rnacentral:rRNA from 1 species